rnacentral:rRNA from 1 species
UGGCUCAGAUUGAACGCUGGCGGAAUGCUUUACACAUGCAAGUCGAACGGUAGAGGGGGCAACCCCUUGAGAGUGGCGAACGGGUGAGUAAUAUAUCGGAACGUGCCCAGUCGUGGGGGAUAACGUAGUGAAAAUUACGCUAAUACCGCAUACGAUCUAUGGAUGAAAGCGGGGGAUCGCAAGACCUCGCGCGAUUGGAGCGGCCGAUAUCAGAUUAGGUAGUUGGUGAGGUAAAGGCUCACCAAGCCGACGAUCUGUAGCUGGUCUGAGAGGACGACCAGCCACACUGGAACUGAGACACGGUCCAGACUCCUACGGGAGGCAGCAGUGGGGAAUUUUGGACAAUGGACGCAAGUCUGAUCCAGCCAUUCCGCGUGCAGGAUGAAGGCCCUCGGGUUGUAAACUGCUUUUGUACGGAACGAAAAGGUUUCUAUUAAUACUAGGAGCUCAUGACGGUACCGUAAGAAUAAGCACCGGCUAACUACGUGCCAGCAGCCGCGGUAAUACGUAGGGUGCAAGCGUUAAUCGGAAUUACUGGGCGUAAAGCGUGCGCAGGCGGUUAUAUAAGACAGAUGUGAAAUCCCCGGGCUCAACCUGGGAACUGCAUUUGUGACUGUAUAGCUAGAGUACCGUAGAGGGGGAUGGGAAUUCCGCG